AGACAAGAGAAUGUUUAAAGCCAACACCCAGACUAAAUGCCAUCACAGUUCCCACACUUUGCCAUGAAAUUGUUGUUGUCAUUCAAUAGCCUUUACCACAGCUGCACCCUCGCCGAGCAAAUGGGUUCGGCGAUUGUAUAGGCGCAGCUAUUGAAUAGGGACAAUAGUAAAUUGCUCUGCUAGCGGUAGUUUGAGGGCGACAGUAGUUGGGUUGAAAAUGACUUGUCUACCGCAUGCACAAAAUUCCUCGGUUGUGAAUAUAUCUUGCUCAUUACCCGUCAAACUGCUGUUCUAAGCAACUGUAGUAAGACAAAGACCGACAUCAGAUUAUAACAACGACAACUCACGGUGCUGUCCACCAAAGGGGAGUCGUUAUAUUUGUUCUUCCGUUUGAGUUUUUAUCGGCCCCACUCGCUCACCCGCUCUUAAAAAAAAAAGAAAAAAAAAAGAGAACUGGAUUCGCUUCGGUUGCACAUUCACGACACCACGCAAAGAAAUACUUUUCGUACUUGGAAACUUGAGGUUUUCGGGUAAUUCUGUGCAUGUGAAAUUUCGUGGUAUCGCCUAUACGUUUAGAAAGCUAUUAUGCAAGUACUUCUACAUCUGUCGUUCGUCCAAGCUAUUUAAAAUUUGCGUGAGCAAACCAGUUAAGAAAUAUGAGCAUUGUAAACUUUUUAAAAAGGCCAAUUAAAGCUUUUUUUCUCUCUUUCUCUUUCUCUGUGCAUAAAAGAAAAGACAGACUCGCAAGUACCUCUGCAUCCUAUGUGAUCAGGAAGGGCCACGUCUCUUUACAAAUGAACGUCCAAGCAAAAAAAAAAUAUAUAUAUAUAGAAAAUUAAUUCACUUACAUGCACUUACCAGCCCACCUUUGCCAUUCCAUUUCAUUUGAUAUCAGCCAAUGUUUUUGCGAAUAAAUUUCCAUUGAACCUACCCGUAAACACAGGAAAUGGCUUAGAGGUAGCGUAAAAUAAAUAGCUUGGAAAGUAAUAUACACACGUAGUUUUAAAAAAAUAUUUGUAUUUAUGCCUUGAAAACGAAACCGAAAUUGAAAUAACUUCCCCCGACGGGUGUCGCUGCUAUCGCCGCUACGUCAUUUCCUGCGUCUCGCGGCGGGCCGGCGGGUGCAUGUGUGUUUGGUGUGUUCUCCGUGACAUUCUUGAAGUUGUGAGUAAUUCGAUUGUUUUUUGCUGCGUUUAGAUUGUACUACCUCGUUGUUUUCGUGUACUUUUGCGCUCAUCGACGUGAAGUGAGCGUCCGGAGUGAAGGCGACGCGAUUAUGCGUGAGAAAGAAAGGCAGCAGCGGCCUACGACAUCGGUGUUUCUUUGUGACAGUGUGUUUACUAUGCCUACGACGGCCGUCAUUCGUGGCGAAAGAGAAAACAUCUUCCAUUCGGCCUGAACAGUGAUGAAGUGGACGUUCGGCGGAAUGCGUCGUCAACAUGGUCCAUCCACUACGUAAACCAAACGGCGUGCCCAGAGUACACAUCGUGACAGCGCUCCACCUUCAAACCGAGGGCCUUUUGCAAGGCGCAUGGACUGCUCAUAUAAAAGUUACAGUCAACAUGAAGCAAUUGCAUGGGAACCGACUGGCUGUCUUGGGCCUACACAUUGCUGAAAAGACUGUGAAGACAUCUGAGCUGACAGGUAGAAAACAAGCAGAUGGCUACAGCGAUCAAGGAAGAAAUGGUUUCAUCUAUGAUGGCUCGCCUUAGGACAUUGGAAUGGAGCUACACAAAGGCAUCACCAGCCUCGCCUGUGCCCUGGAACAUUGGUUUGAAUAAGACUGUUCUUCAGUGUAGAACGACCACAAGACUUGUCACCACAUACAAGGCAUAGUGCAAGCUCUAAAUAUUGUACAGGUGGCUAGAAUAAAUGACCCUCCAUGCAGUCAC